UACGUAUUUUUCCAGGAUAAUAAGUAACCUAUUUUAUGUCCAGGAUAAUAAGUUAAUUAUACCAAGUUUCAUCGAAAUCAAACCGUUAGUUUUCACGUGAUGCCUGAACAUAUAUAGACAGACAGACAAAAAAAUAAUAAUCACAUAUUUGGGUUUGGUAUCGACCCAGUAGCACCCUGCUAUUUAUUUUUUCUAUAUUUUCAAUGAACAGAAUUGACCCUUCUACAGAUUUAUUAUAGCCCGCGACUUCGUUCGUGUGGAAUAGUGACUUCCGGCAAAUUUUUGGUUUUAACCACAUAGUUCCCGAUUUCGCGGGAUCUCUUCAAAAAUGAGAUGUGGAAAAUAUUCUAGGGAACUCCUCAAAAAUCAACAUAAUGAGCUCUGCGUUUGAAUUUAAUAGAUGUAUACUCACUUAGGGCAUUGAAAAAAUAGUUUAAAAACGGACUUAAACUAAAGAAAUAUUAUAAUCUUUCCGAACUUAAGAUGAAAACUAACUUAAAACUAAAGAGUUAAAGAAAGCUACGAAUUACGAAUUUAUAACAGUUAAAAAAGAAAUUAUAUUACAACCUAUCCUCAAUGCUAUAAUACCAAGCCAAACCAAGCUUAAACUAAAUAAUUUAAAAGAAACGACUUAAAUCUAAUUAAUUUAUAAAUUAUAGACUUACAAUUUUAUUAAACAAACUAACUACAGUAACUACUAAUAAUCGAUAUCAAACUAAACCUACGUUAAAUAAUUUAACCAGGAAAACCCAACAAAUAAACUUUUUAAUAGACAAAUACGACUUAUAGUACACUAUUUCCACAACAGUACCGAAGCGCUCGGCCGAUACCCAACAAAUACUAAUAAUAAAAACGAUAGAAAACAAAUAAAAACUAUCCUAUGUCCUUUCUAAGGUUCUAAACUAUAUCUGUACCAAAUUUCAACCAAAUCCGUCAAAUAGUUGCGGAGAUUAAUGGUAUAAGCAUAGAAUAAUGUUCGACGUGAUUCUUUAAUUUGACAUAACUUUUUUAUUUAUGAACCGAUUGACAUGAAACAAACACUAAAUGUAAAUUUAAGCAUCCCACAAUAUAUUCGUGAAAACCGCAUCCAACUCGAAUCAGCCGUUUCUGAGAUUAGCGCGCACAGACGAACAGACAAACAGACAAACAGACAAACAGACAAACAGACAAACAGACAAACAGACAAAAAAAAAGUUAAUUACAUUUUUGGGUUCGACAUCGACAUAACAAUAACCCCUGCUAUUUUUUUUAUUUUUAUUUUCAAUGUACAGACAGCACUUUUCUACGAUUUUAUUAUAUGUAUAGACUAGCUUUUGCCCGCGACUUCGUUCGCGUGGAAUAGUGACUUCCGGCAAAUUUUUGGUUUUAACCACAUAGUUCCCGAUCUUGCGGGAUCUCUUCAAAAAUGAGAUGUGGAAGAUAUUCCAGGGAACUCUUCAAAAAUCAACAUAAUGAGCUCUGCGUUUGAAUUUAAUAGAUGUAUACUCACUUAGGGCAUUGAAAAAAUAGUUUAAAAACGGACUUAAACUAACUUAAAACUAAAGAAAGCUACGAAUUACGAAUUUAUAACAAUUAAAAAAGAAACUAUAUUACAACCUAUCCUCUAUGCUAUAAUAACCAAGCUUAAACUAAAUAAUUUAAAAGAAACGACUUAAAUCUAAUCUAAUUAAUUUAUAAAUUAGACUUACAAUUUUAUUAAAAAAACUAACUACAGUAACUACUAAUAAUCGAUAUCAAACUAAACCUACGUUAAAUAGUUUAACCAGAAAACCAGGAAAACCCAACAAAUAAACUUAUUAAUUGACAAAUACAACGAAACCAAUUUAGAAUAUACGAAACAGCAGGACCACUACAGACAAAUAAUCAUACGACUGAUAAUACAGUUUUUCUACGAUAGUACCGAAGCGCUCGGCCGAUACCCAACCAAAUGAAUGUAACGAAACCAUAGCGCGAUCUAUUUCGAUCCCAACGCCAUCUAUCGAGGAUAAAGACAACUUGGAUUAUUUAUUUAUACUCCGUUCGGGCAUUUUCUUUGUACUAAAAGUUUAAUUAUAUUGAUAUUAUUUUUUUCAUACCUUUUUACUAUUUAUUUACUUUUUUUCGAUGAAUUAAAACAAUAACAUGAACCGAAGUCGUGUAACGAUCGACAUAGAAUUAUCUAUAGGUACUCCGUUAGAGCAUUUUCUUUGUACUAAAUGUUUUAUUAUAUUGAUAUUAUUUUUUUCAUACCUUUUUACUAUUUAUUUACUUUUUUUCGAUGAAUUAAAACAAUAACAUGAACCGAAGUCGUGUAACGAUCGACAUAGAAUUAUUUAUGAAUAAUUUAUUUCUUAUUUUUAUUUUUUGAUUUUUGAAAUAAAAAUAUAUCUAUGUCCUUUCUAAGGUUCUAAACUAUAUCUGUACCAAAUUUCAACCAAAUCCGUCAAAUAGUUGCGGAGAUUAAUGGUAUAAGCAUAGAAUGUUCGACGUGAUUCUUUAAUUUGACAUAACUUUUUUAUUUAUGAACCGAUUGACAUGAAACAAACACUAAAUGUAAAUUUAAGCAUCCCACAAUAUAUUCGUGAAAACCGCAUCCAACUCGGAUCAGCCGUUUCUGAGAUUAGCGCGCACAGACGAACAGACAAACAGACAAAAAAAAAGUUAAUUACAUUUUUGGGUUCGACAUCGACAUAACAAUAACCCCUGCUAUUUUUUUUAUUUUUAUUUUCAAUGUACAGACAGCACUUUUCUACGAUUUUAUUAUAUGUAUAGAUAGAUGUAA